UUUUAAAAAUGUCGAACAAUCGUCGGAAAAGUUAAAUCCAUACGCCAUGAGAACUAGGUUUUAGUCCAUCAAAUUUCCCCUGCAAUACAAUUUAUUGGAUUAGUCAACCCCUGUAGAUUUUGAAGUGUAAAAAAUUCCCUUCAGCUAUCUCUAUAAUAAUUUCAAACAAAUUAAUUCCUGCACAAUAAAAGCUACAAGGACACGUUGGUCAAGUAACCUGUAUCUGCUUUUAUUUAUCAUCAUUGCAGUUAUAAGAUUAUGAAUGUACGUGAUUCAUUUGCGAAUGAAUAACCAGUAAGUGCGGUUGUAUGUGCUCCGUUAUUACGCGUUUAUAUUCCACGUGAAAGGUGUGAAGACAUCGCCAUCCAUCCAAAAACGACGAGGCUAUUUCAAACUGAUGAUGCUAAGACCAAGUAUUUCUUGGGUUGAGGCAGAGGAGCUAUACGGUUUACCAUUUAGAGCGACCAUUCAGCAACCAAACGUGAAAGAAGUGAGCACUAGUCACCAUCGAAUUCGGCAUUGUUCUCUUCCGAAGAAGCUUCUACAAUAUGAAUAAACAGAGAUUUUCUGAUGGUCUCGAGCUGUAUCUACCUGAAUUGCCAGUCAUGACGAUUGACGACACUAUUCCAAAACCGAUACCGAAGAUCUUGUGAACACGCCUUAUUUGGAGAAAGCUCGUCUUAUUAGGUUGCUUAUUUAUCAACCCAAAGCACAGAGGUAUGCUUGCACUUUUACUGAAUGGUAAUCUUAUUUUGGCAGAUAUGUACUUAUACGAUCUCGAGUCAGCAAAGCCAGCCGAAAAUCCGGAAUACAUUAUACAGAGGUUCUCCAAAUGGACGUGGUUUGCUUCACAGCUCCUGUGGCUGCAACUUCAUAGAGACGAGGCGACUUCUAAAACAAUACAAAUAUGUUGUUAUAUGCUACAUUAUAAAUUGUGAUGCAAGAUUUAGUAGUGAAUAAAUUUACUCACCUUCAAAA